UACGGAGGGGGCUAGCGUUGUUCGGAAUUACUGGGCGUAAAGCGCGCGUAGGCGGAUCUGCAAGUCGGGGGUGAAAGCCCGAGGCUCAACCUCGGAACUGCCUUCGAUACUGCGGGUCUCGAGUCCGGGAGAGGUGAGUGGAAUUCCUAGUGUAGAGGUGAAAUUCGUAGAUAUUAGGAAGAACACCAGUGGCGAAGGCGGCUCACUGGCCCGGUACUGACGCUGAGGCGCGAAAGCGUGGGGAGCGAACAGG
rnacentral:rRNA from 1 species